CUCGUAGGCUGCCAACUAAGUCGGACGUGAAAUCCCUCGGCUUAACCGGGGAACUGCGUCCGAUACUGGAUGGCUUGAGUUUGGGAGAGGGAUGCGGAAUUCCAGGUGUAGCGGUGAAAUGCGUAGAUAUCUGGAGGAACACCGGUGGCGAAGGCGGCAUCCUGGACCAAUACUGACGCUGAGGAGCGAAAGCCAGGGGAGCAAAC
rnacentral:rRNA from 1 species